GUUAAAUCUCUCUACUAUUACUACUGACAAUAACGGUUUGAUUUGCAAAGUCGCACUAGAUAAGCGCUGACAGUAAGCAUGUAGACAAGCAGCACGAUACGAUGGCCUUCACAGCGAACAAAGGAAACGGGAACAGAAAAGAGCGUUUCAAGAUGAAACCGUUUGACCUUAUCGACACAUUAUCUCCCUUAAAAUUGCUGUUUGUUCGUGCAAAGAAAAACAAUUCUUCCAAUUCCUGUUCUUCUGAUACAGCUUGGUGGCAAAGAAGGUACACAUUCAUUAAACUUUUUCCAUUCGUAGCAUUCAUACAAAUAACUCUGCGAUGAAAGAGUUGUAACUUACUAUAGAAUUUUCGAUUGAAGAUGGGAACGUUUUUCAUCAUUUCUGUUGAACGCAAUGGAGCGAAAAUUCUGAGAUUGUAAUACAGACAUCAAUUUCUUUAUUGUCGGUGACAGCACAAUGCUCUAUGUCUUUUGUUAAGUACCUGUCUGACAUGUCAGAAUCAUUUAACAAUAUUAAACACUGCCAUCAGUAUUUGUUUAAAAUUU